UUUCUUUUAUGGAGAGUUUGAUCCUGGCUCAGGACGAACGCUGGCGGCGUGCCUAAUACAUGCAA
rnacentral:rRNA from 1 species